rnacentral:rRNA from 1 species
UACGUAGGGUGCAGGCGUUAAUCGGAAUUACUGGGCGUAAAGCGUGCGCAGGCGGUUGUGCAAGACAGAGGUGAAAUCCCCGAGCUCAACUUGGGAACUGCCUUUGUGACUGCAUGGCUAGAGUGUGUCAGAGGGGGGUAGAAUUCCACGUGUAGCAGUGAAAUGCGUAGAUAUGUGGAGGAAUACCGAUGGCGAAGGCAGCCCCCUGGGAUAACACUGACGCUCAUGCACGAAAGCGUGGGGAGCAAACAGG